CGCACUCUAUAACUAGCUUAAGUUAUAAAAACAAAAUUGAAUGACCCAAUAAUUGUCUCACCAUGAUAUUGUAAUAAAAAGGUUAAUAUUGCAAAACACAUUGCAACCGCACUCUAUAACUAGCUUAAGUUGGUCUCAAUGUAUCAGACACUUUUAUGUAAAGUAACUACCAAAUAAGCGGUUAAAUAACAAAAAGAAGUGAGUAGUGUAUAAUACAAGUGAAACUUACCAUCAGUAUGAAUCAUAGAGAAAAUACAGGUGAAAGCAUGCUUGUUCCCAAAAAAAUAAAAAAUAAAAAGCAUUGAAAACUCACCAAGAUAUUGUAAAUUUGUAAUAGUGUUAACGAAGACAAUGAACUGAGCUUUGGGUUCAAUUGAUUUCUAGGGUUCAAUUGAUAUCUAGGGUUCAAUUGAUUUCUAGGGUUCAAUAGAAUUUUAGGAAUUCUGAGUUCUAGGAUCAAUCACUUUUCAUUUUAGGGUUCAAAGAGGGGAACGAUUGAGAGAAGAAGGUUUUAAGGGUUCAAGCGAUUUCAAUGGAGAAAAAAAGGUUUAUGAGUUCGACAGAGAAUAUAGGGUGAUUGACGAAAUAGUGAGUUCGAUGAGGUGAACACGUUGAUGAGGGAAAAGGUAAGUUCGAAGAAGGUGAGAUUGGUGAGAUGUUUUAUGAAAGCCAAAACGCGAACUGAAAUAUUUUACGCAAUUUUUUUUAUUUAAUUUGGUAGAAAGUUCUAUAACAGCGCUUCUAUAAAAAGAGCUAUCAAAGAGUUACCCAUAUAAUAGCGUUUAUCCAAAAAGCGCUAUUAAACGCAUCCGUUUUAUUUUCAUUAACAUCUUAUAAUAGCGACCGACAAGUAAACCGCUAUUAUAAGUCUCAGUAUGACAUUUUUAAUGGCGUUUUGUUAAAAAGCGCUAUUAAAUUGGCGCUAUUAUAUGUCAAAAUUGUAGUAGUGAAUUGGGCCACACAUAGUAAAAAGCCCAAGAUAGUUACUUAAAAGAAAACCCUAAAAACACUAGUAUCAUGUUUUUGGUGGGUAUUGGCAGCCGCAGCUUCCCUUUUCUUUCUAUGAGUUAUUGCACUGGUUUCCCAUGUUUUU
rnacentral:lncRNA from 1 species